rnacentral:rRNA from 1 species
AGCGAAUAGAUACCCAGGUAGUCCACGCCCUAAACGAUGUCGACUGGUUGUUGGGGGUUUGACACUCUCAGUAAACGAAAGCUAAACGCGUGAAGUCGACCGCCUGGGGAGUACGGCCGCAAGGUUAAAACUCAAAGGAAUUGACGGGGACCCGCACAAGCGGUGGAUUAUGUGGAUUAAUUCGAUGCAACGCGAAAAACCUUACCUACCCUUGACAUGUCCGGAAGCCUGCUGAGAGGCGGGUGUGCCCGAAAGGGAACCGGAACACAGGUGCUGCAUGGCUGUCGUCAGCUCGUGUCGUGAGAUGUUGGGUUAAGUCCCGCAACGAGCGCAACCCUUGUCAUUAGUUGCUACAUUCAGUUGGGCACUCUAAUGAGACUGCCGGUGACAAACCGGAGGAAGGUGGGGAUGACGUCAAGUCCUCAUGGCCCUUAUGGGUAGGGCUUCACACGUAAUACAAUGGCGCGUACAGAGGGUUGCUAAGCCGCGAGGUAGAGCCAAUCCCUUAAAGCGCGUCGUAGUCCGGAUUGCAGUCUGCAACUCGACU